CCUACGGGAGGCAGCAGUAAGGAAUAUUGGACAAUGGACGCAAGUCUGAUCCAGCCAUGCCGCGUGAAGGAUUAAGGCCCUCUGGGUUGUAAACUUCUUUUAUAGGGGACGAAAAAAGGGCUUUCUAGCUCGACUGACGGUACCCUAUGAAUAAGCACCGGCUAACUCCGUGCCAGCAGCCGCGGUAAUACGGAGGGUGCAAGCGUUAUCCGGAUUCACUGGGUUUAAAGGGUGCGUAGGCGGGCAGUUAAGUCAGUGGUGAAAUCUUCGAGCUCAACUCGGAAACUGCCAUUGAUACUAUCUGUCUUGAAUAUUGUGGAGGUGAGCGGAAUAUGUCAUGUAGCGGUGAAAUGCUUAGAUAUGACAUAGAACACCGAUUGCGAAGGCAGCUCGCUACACAAAUAUUGACGCUGAGGCACGAAAGCGUGGGGAUCAAACAGGAUUAGAUACCCUGGUAGUCCACGCCCUAAACCUAUGGAUACUCGACAUUUGCGAUACACAGUAAGUGUCUGAGCGAAAGCAUUAAGUAUCCCACCUGGGAAGUACGACCGCAAGGUUGAAACGUCAAAUGAAUUGACGG
rnacentral:rRNA from 1 species